GUCUACAUCCAUAACACCCUGAAUGCACCUGAUUGCAUCCGAUCUCAAAAGCUAAGCAGGGUUGGGCCUGGUUAAUACUUGGAUGGGAGACCGCCUGGGACUACCGGGUACUGUAGGCU
rnacentral:rRNA from 1 species